AUAUAUCCUCCACGUAAAGCAAACAAUCUCCCAAAAGUUUGAGUAAUUACUUACCUAGCUUUUACAAUGAAUCUUUCAGAAUCAAGUUGUUUCAAUACUUCUCCAAUAAUCUGACCAACCGACUGCAAGCUUUUUAUAUCAUCCUCUGUUUUAUCAUAUUUCUUGACUAGAUCUCGAUUUCCAAAACGCAAAUCCUUCAGUUUUGAAUCCCAUUCUCGAUGUUGUAAUAAAUAGGAUUUAUAUUUCUCUAAAGCAGUGUCUCUUUCCGACAUGGUUAUUUCGCAAAAGAUGUGUUAGUUCUGGUCAGAACAUACUAGCAAAUGGGAAUCCAAUUACUCG